UACAGAGGGGGCAAGCGUUGUUCGGAAUUACUGGGCGUAAAGGGCGCGUAGGUGGCCUGCUAAGUCGAACGUGAAAUCCCCGGGCUCAACCCGGGAACUGCGUCCGAUACUGGCAGGCUUGAAUCCGGGAGAGGGAUGCGGAAUUCCAGGUGUAGCGGUGAAAUGCGUAGAUAUCUGGAGGAACACCGGUGGCGAAGGCGGCAUCCUGGACCGGCAUUGACGCUGAGGCGCGAAAGCGUGGGGAGCAAACAGG
rnacentral:rRNA from 1 species